UGGGGGAUAUUGCACAAUGGGCGAAAGCCUGAUGCAGCGACGCCGCGUGGGGGAUGAAGGCCUUCGGGUUGUAAACUUCUUUUGCUCUGAACAAGGCAUGCCUUUGGGGUGUGUUGAGUGUAGGGGUUGAUUAGCGCCGGCUAACUACGUGCCAGCAGCCGCGGUAAUACAUAGGGCGCGAGCGUUGUCCGGAAUUAUUGGGCGUAAAGGGCUUGUAGGUGGCUGGUUGCGUCUGUCGUGAAAGCUCAUGGCUUAACUGUGGGUUUGCGGUGGGUACGGGCUGGCUUGAGUGCAGUAGGGGAGGCUGGAAUUCCUGGUGUAGCGGUGGAAUGCGCAGAUAUCAGGAGGAAUACCGGUGGCGAAGGCGGGUCUCUGGGCUGUUACUGACGCUGAGGAGCGAAAGCGUGGGGAGCGAACAGG
rnacentral:rRNA from 1 species